ACCGGAGGGAGGGAGGGAGGGAGGGAGGGAGGCUGCGGACGAGCGCGGGGAGGAGUUGCAGAGGGGAGGCGCUUGCAGGGGCUCCCCCACUUCUGCGCCGAGGGCCCCGGCACAAAGAGCCCUCCGCACUGGCGCCGCAGCACCGCGCCCCGAGCUCGUCAGACAGGACCUUGCCGUGGGUGGACUCCUGAGCCUGCCUCCCUGUGCUCCGUGUGACAUUUCCAAGACUUGUCCACGUCAAAAUCUGUGCCAGUGGGCGUGAGGACUUUCAGGGGAGACGCGGGGAUUCCUGGUUCCUUCUGGUCAGCUCCGAGCCCCGGAAGCAGCUCUGCAGAUAAGUGCUCACGCCCACAGGCAUACAGCCCACCACACACAGACCCCACCCGACGCCCAGGAGGGAGGGCGAGGGGGAGGGAUGUGGCUCAUUUAUUUUCCCUUUUCUAUGCCACAGAGACCUUGCCCACGGUUUGGGGGGGUCUCAGAAAGGGAAAUUUUACCCCCCCCAUUCCCCACAUUGGCACAGGGGGGGCCCAUACUGGAUCUGCUCCUCUGCCAGGAACCCCUGUGGCAUGGAAGCUUUUGACCUGCAUGCACCUGUCCGUCAGGUGGAGGGAGGAGGCUCGGACCCCGUUGCUUGGGCUGGCCCUGCUCUUUUGCAGAUGGGGGCGGCGGGGGUAGGGGGGGCUUUGUCACUUCACCCAGAGAUCAGGGCCAGGGAUGCUUUUCCUGGCAGAGCAGUGGGGACGCAGCCUGCAGGACCCACCUCCUGAGUGGGAGGUGGGGUUGGCGGGGGGAUGUCUGAGUGUCUUUCCAGCUCUGGACCCCCAAAUCCCAGGAUUCUGUGAGUUUCUGAGGAUAUGCUGAGAGCUCUCGAGGGUUUGGCCUUCCAAGAACCCACCCCCUUACUCUGGGGUGCCCUGAGCUUCUCUGUUGCCCUGGAGGAUGGGGCUGGUGGGAGAAGGCCCUUGUCUGUCCCUCUCACUGCCCAAGUGCUGGGUCACCGAGGCGCAUCCUGGGUGUAUGUUGGGGCUGGGAGGAUCCCCCCCCUGGGCCAGAUUGGGGACACUCACAGAUACUGACCUGCUUGCUCCAAGGGAGUUGGAGAGGGAAACCCACCUGGGUCUCCCUGGGCCCCCCCACUAAGGAUACUCUGGGGGGAUGGGAGAGGAAGGGGGGUGAGGGGGCUGUGCCCAGGCCUCACCCCUAGCAGGGAGUCCUGGCCUGGGUUCUGGGGACCCCCCCACCCCAAUGUGGUUUUCUCCUGUGGCGUGGCUGGCCCUUGUCUUCCAGGAGGGGCCCGUGGGGGCCGCGGGGGGAAGCUGCUGGGAGCUGAGAGCGGUGUGGAGCGGUGGCUGGAUGCAGCCAGUGCAGUGGGGUCUUGGACCCGGCUGGCCAUCAAUGGUGACCGCGCCCCAGGACACGGUUUUGCCUGCACCCAUCCUCACAGCAGAGCACGCGUCUUCCCUGUCUCGCUGCCCUGCCCAGCACACCUGCGGAACUCUUGCCCGGGGCUUCUCUUUGGAGCCUGGGUGAAGCCCGAACUAGCGGUGCCUCCACGACGCUGGGACCAGCUUGGGUGGUUCUCCGGAACCCUGGACCGUUCCCCGCUGACUUCCUUCUCCCACCUGGGACAGCGUGUCCCGCGGAGAAAGGCCCACCUGGAUCAGCUCUGGAGGGGUGCGGGUGCCUGUCUCGGACCUUCCCGACCUCCAGUGGACUUGUUUCUCCAGUCUGUCCAGCUGACCACCCGACAGCGCCACCUGGGCCAAGGCCCCACUGACCACACCUCCAGGAGGUGGGGCCUGCGGAGGACCCAAUGGGAGGGCAGCAGAAACGAGGGGAGGGCGGGGAUUGUAAAGGACCCAAUGGGAGGGCAGCAGAAAUGAGGGGAAGGCGGGGAUUGUAAAGGACCCAAUGGGAGGGCAGCAGAAAUGAGGGGAAGGCGGGGAUUGUAAAGGACCCAAUGGGAGGGCAGCAGAAAUGAGGGGAGGGCGGGGCCUGUGGAGGACCCAAUGGGAGGGUGGCAGAAACCAGGGGCAGGCCAGGGAGGAACCAAUGGGCGGCGGGCAGGAGUCUUGGGGCGGGGCCGGGCUGCGCAAUCUGCUGGACUCUGUCUCAGGCUGUUUGUUUGCGAGCGAUUCUCUGGCUUGUGGGUGCUGCUUCUCUCUCGGAGGGUCUGGGCUGAGCCUGGGACGUGCCUCCAGGGUGGUCACACGUGGGGAGCAGCACCUGGGGUCGGGGCUAGGGGUGCAGCGGGGAUGCUUCCCUUGCAAGCAGAGGGUUUGCGAGAGACAGGGCGAUCCAGACCCUGGGAGCCGUCCAGGCUCAGAGCCUGGCUCCUCCUACCCUGUAGGGAACGGGCUGGAUCAGCCCCAGGCUGGGGGUGGGGGUGCCCCAGGCUGGCUCUGCCUGCUCGCACUGCCCUCACACGCGUGAUGACUGCACGCGAGUGGGUCGCUGGUUGAGCAGGAGGCUGAGGUCCAAGGUCUGAGGCUUCUCCCUGUGGCUGCUCCACCUUGGCUUGCAGAUUGCUCCUCCCGGCCUGCUGUGAGCUCAUCCGGCCUUCUCUCCGCGCAGUGCUUAAGGGGAGGGAAGAGAGAUCUACGUGUUUCCCUCUGCUGUUAAGGACAGCCCUGGCUUAGCUAGCCCUUAGAACCCCACCGUACCGUUAUCCCUUCCCCCAAAAUCCCUAUCUUUAAGCUAUUUUGGGAAUAGAGGGUGAUGGCUCCAGUUUUAAGAGUCUGAGGAGGUUCAGGUUGGAGAGUGGGCCCAGGUCCUCAGAGGACAUGCCCAGAAUCGACGAGGAGCCCCUAAGAGAGGGUCUGGGGGCAGUCAAGGUGUUAGAGCUGGAGGGGUGAGUCGUUUCUCUCAGUCCUGUUUCCAUGUUAGAGGGACCCUUGGCUCUACUGGGGACCUCAGGGCUAGCCUGGCACAGUACUAGACCCUCCUUGGUGCUCACCAACCAUCCCCACCCCCUCCCCCAUUCCAUCUCCAGCCUGGACUUGGGGGCUGACAAUUUUUCACGCUCUGGAUAGUUAAUCCAACCUCCUAGGUCCAGGGAUGGUGCCCAGCUGGCCCAUCCUGAAUGGCCUUUGACCUGCUCAGCUCAGCUCCUUGUGGAAGUGACCGGCUCCACUUCCGGCAGCUCAGAAUGCUCCUUGCAGGCCUCGCCUCUGAGUCCUCCUUGAGAGCAGCCUAUCUGGGCGUGGCCUGCAAGGGGCUGGGGUGCUGGGAGAAAGCUCAGAGCAAGUUGUGGUGGCCCGGACCAGGCUUUUCAGCACGGGCAGCGCCGGCCAGGGCCUCGAAGGGCAGCCAUGUGGCCUCACCAAGGGCUCACAGGGGAAGAGAUUAGAGCGGCAGUUCCUCAAAGCCAUUUCUGGCCACUGCUUUCACAGAAUUCAAAUGCAGCGGGGGUUUCUGUAGAGCAGGGCUCGGCAGAGCUGCUUUAAAAAGGCUGCUGGGAAAUGCCAGUGGUCAAGAACAGCCCCAGGAGGAAGUGUCCUGUCCCCCGUGUCCGCUCUCCAGCCCCAACUUCUGCUCAUCAGGCAACAAAACAUUUUUUUUUUCUUUUUCUAAUGGGGCAUCCUUUAGUCUGGAGGAGGGGGCAAGGCAGGAUUUGGGCAGGGAAACUAGAGUAGGGAUGAGAGGGGCCACGUCUGGGUGCGCUGUGGCAUCGGUUUUAAAAGGCGGCAGGCCAGCAUGGGCCGGGGAGUGUGAACUGGCUUCCAGGCCUCACUGAGUGCUCGCAAGUUUGGGGGCAGGCAGUGGUGGGAGCACUCAGAGGCAGUUGGGGAUGGGAGAGAUGCCCACGGCUCGUGGUGACUGGGCGGGGGGCGGGGGGUGGUGCAGACGUGGGAAGAUUCUGCUGUGUGCACAUCCACAUAAGUGUACGUGUUCUCACACGCCUGGCAGGGACAGGCUCCGGCCCCCGGGGAAGGGGCUGACCAGAUCCAGGCAGGUGGGGGAAGUGGCGGGAGGGAGGGGAGGUCCAGCCAGGAUGACCCAAACACUGAAGUAUCGGCAGGAGGGUCUUGGAGGCCCCCCGGCUAAGAACUAAGGAUGCAAACAUAGUCUAUGGGGGUUUAUGUGACUCUAGCUGGGCAGUAGAAGCAGAUGCCCCCUGCCCUGGUCAGGCCCAGCUCCCUGGCUGGUGGGGGCGGGAGGUCUCUACGGUGGGACCGGAGUGGCGGGGUGCAUGGUGGAAUUAACCUACUAACCCAGGGCUCGGCCGGGACGCUGUGGUGUGUGACGAGGUGCCUGGCCUUCUGCCAACUGACUAACCCACUAACCAGGCCCGAGCAUGCCCUACUAACCCCGCGCAGCCAGACCUUACUAACCUUGCAGCUCGUGGGCCUUUCCAGGGGACCAGGGAGUGGACGAGGCUCCGGAAGGCCCUGGCCGAGGCCCGGGGUCUCUGUGCAGACCCCCGCUCCAGGACGGGGCAUGCCGAUCAGGUCUCCAGCUCUGCCGCUUACUGCCGCCUCUCUGAACCCCAGUUUCUUGGGCAGUGGGAGGGACGUCUUCCUUCCCUGAUCUUCAGUGAGGAAGCCCGUGAAUACCAAGGGUUGGCACAGGUCAGAAUACAUUAACGUUACAGAAUAAUAAUAAUAAAUAAUAAUAAAAAGUGGGGUGAGGGUGUGGGCUGGAGGCCCAGAUAUAUGAUGGGGUUCCCUGCCGAGGCUCCGUCCCUCUGGGUAUUCUGCACACAGACCCCCACGCCUGGGCCCAGACACUCGCUUUAACCCCCUAACUGUCUCUUUCUGACAUUCUUCCUCCUCUUCAGCUUUCUUUGCCGUAGGCAGCUCUUUUGUUCGGUUACUAACCUGUCUAACCCAGGGGUGCCACCACCGUACCCCGCCUGCCCCUUAACAAACUAACGGACCUGCGUGUGCCCCCCUUUCUCCUAGCGACUCCCGCGUGUGUCUGCUGAGGUCCCCUGGCCGCUGGUGCUGUGCUCUUACUAACCCAGACCCUACUAACCCUGGUUUCUCUUACUAACCCCAGCCCUGCCGAGCUCUGGGCCCCUUCUAGGGGCUGGUCCCCCUCCUUCUGACAAGCAGAUGUCUUGGGGUUGCCCCAGGGGCUGUGAGUUCCAGUCUUGGGGGGCCCCGGGCUGCGGCAGCAGAUGGCUCUAGUGAGCUCGCCCCCAGCGCCCAGAGGAGGAAGGGGUCUCGAGGAGGCGAGGCUGGUCUCAGUGCCGUGGCAUCACGGCGCUGGGCACAAGUCUGGUUGCUGCCAGGAGGGGUUGGGACCAGGGACACUUCUGGGUGUUGCCCUUUAGGUCACGGAGCUUUAGAUCACGGAGCCCUGGGCUUGUCCCCGUGAAGGGAACAGAAAAGGAGCCUGUGCGCCCCUCUUUGGAGGGAGGGCGAAUUGGCCAAACUCUCCACUGGAAAGUGACCAGUGGAGGUGCAGGGCUGGCACAGGAAGUCAGUGGGCGGGACCGACCUGCCCCAUACCGGAAGUAAGCCAGGAGCCGAGCCCCACACAGGAAGUGGGCAGGCUGAGCCUUCCUUACGAUGGAAGCCGGUGAAAACGCUUUCGUGCUGGAGAUCACUGAGUGGAUCGAUUGGUCAUUGAUCAGUAAUAGUUGGAAGUAAGCCACGCACUGGUGGGGGGGGGGAGGCAUUUCCCACUUGGUGGUCUGGAAGCCGGAACUACCACCGGAAGCUAGAGGGAAGGGCACUUCCGGCCACAGGAGCAGCGAGACGGUGGUUCCUACAACCGGAAGUUGGCUAGAGGGGCCCUCCGCCGCCUCCGAGGCCGGGAGAGCCCGGGGUCCCCCACCGGAAGUGGCGUGAUCCAUUUUUUGAGUACUUGAGCCUUUGUAAAGGACCGUGUCACACCUGGAAGCGGAAGAAGGCAGGGAAGCAAGAGGGGCCCCUCUGGGCUCAGGGUUGCAGGAGGAAGAGGGGCGGUCCUAAAGUGACCCCCGAGUGCCCGCAGGGCCCUGCAACGUUUCAGGCCAGUCAGGGGUCCCUCCGGCUCCCUGCUCUGUUCCCACCCUCUCCCCGCCCCAGCCCACCUCCCCCAGAGCCCGCCAGCUGCUAAGCCGGGGCCACACCUGGGGGUGAUUUGAUGCCUCACCUCCAGUAGGCACCUUGGUCUCUUUGGGCUACUCUCUGGCUCCUCUGCACUAACUCUUGCUCAUCCUUCACCCAGCUAAUCCUUGCCUUGCCCUGGCCGCCCCCCACCAUCCCGGGGGCCGACCACUAACAGCCAGUCCUGUGUGUCGGGGGCUCCGGGCUCCUAGCCUGGCUCUGACCGGCUCCCUGAUUAACCCGUUCUCCACCUCGACUAACUCCUGCCCUCCUGGUCUGUUCCUUUCUGCAGAAACUAACGGCUUGUGGACUUCUCUCUGACUAACAACAGGUCUAACACCCCCGUUACCAUGACUAUUAACAGCUUGGAUGUCCGCAUGGCUGGGCAGGCGCUAACACAGGGAGACGGGGAGCUAGCGGUGUCGGGCUGGGGGGCUCCUCUGGGUGGCCUGGUGUGAAGUCAGCUGAGAUGGCAGUGCUCCAAAGGAGGUGCCAAGGCAGGGUGGCCGGGGUGGCCUGGUGCACUGGGUGGGGCCCAAAUUCAACCUUGGUAGGUCGUGGCCCCUGAACACAGCCCGUUACACCUUCAUUAUCUACAAUCGGUGACCUAAGAUGCACUUCCGAGUCACAGUAGCAAAAAACCAGACGAGUGGGUAUAGCUCUUGCAGAUGGCAGAACCCCUGUGCGGGGUGUGCAGGGGUCCUUGAUUUGGCGGUGGUGGGGGGUGGUGUGUGUGUGUGUGUGUGUGUGUGUGUGUGUGUGUGUAGGUUUGGAAACCCUGGGUCAUAAAGCUUUAGAUCCCAAAGGGUUGUCACGCUCGGUUUAUUCAUGCAGUGCCGGGGGACGGCCCCGGGCCCCUUGCAUGUGACACAUGCACACUUGUCACUGGGGCACGGCCCCGGGGCCCCUUGCAUGUGACACGUGCACACUGGGGCACGGCCCCGGGUAGUUGUUCCAUGUCAACAAGCUCAGGCUCUCGGGUGAGGAGGUGAGGGUGUGACUGGGAGGGAGUCUGGGUGGCCUUGGGGAGGAGGAGGCCAGACUGUGUCAAGGGGAGAUGGGCAGUGGCCCCGCGACCCCGAUUCCCCUUGCUGUUGGCAGCUCCUAGCAGGGCCCCGGGACCGGACCCGUUCAGGACAGGGCCUUCCUCUUCGCUGGCCCGGGUCUGGCUGAGGCAGCAUCUCUGGCACCCCUGGGCUCAGAGCUACCUUGGCCGAGCUGCCGGUGAGAGCAGGAGGGCGAUGCACGGGCAGCAGGAGCAGCAGAGGGGACAGAGAAAGCAUCCCUAAGGGCUCAGAGAAGGUGCCCCCGUGCUGGCUCACCCAGAUGGAGCGGCGCCUGCGCAGUGGGGGGGAAGGGAGAGCAGGGGCGCUUGGCGCCCUCUAGUGGCCACCUGGCGCCACUUCACUGGGAGCCGGAAGCUCAGGCAGGACCUAAGUCCAACUGCUGUGCGCCCGGCCCUGCUCUGGGGACUGGAGCCCACGUGGGGACUUUUUGGAUGUUUUGACGGGGACGGGGCAGUCCGGGAGACCCACAGGCUGCAGACCCGGUGCCAGGCACUGCGUGGGUGUUGCAGAGGCAUGAGAUGCUCUCCAGCCUCCAGGGGCGGGUCCCAUGCCGGUGAGCGGGGGGCGGGGGGGGGCACCUGGGGGCGUGAGCAGACGGAGGGUCUUCCAGGGCAGAGGGCAAGAGUGGAGGGGAAGACUGGCCCCGGCUCUGGGGAAUGAAGAGCGUCAGAGGGGUCCUGGGAGGGUUGCGGGAAGCUAGCCAGGCGCAGGCGGGGAAUGAGCGAGCACCAGAGCUCCCCCCAGGGGCCUUGAGAUGGGGAGGGGAGGGGAGAUGCGGGGUUGGAGUUCGAGGCCGGCGCGAUGGGUGGCGGGCUGAGGGGCUUGUCGCUUCUCAGGAGCUGAUGUCCCCGCUGAUGCUCACUCUGGCCUCCAGGCCAGUGGCCAGCAAGCUUGCAGCUGGGUUGGGGUGCAGGGCCCCUGAGUUAGGUCUGAAGCGGCUGAUGGGAGGAGCCUGAGGUCCAGCCUGAGACGGUGGGCGGCCGGCAGGGGUCGAUGGUAAAGGUGACGUGGAAGAGGCCCGGGGUGGAGCUGCUUGUUCUGUGCCCUGCCCCUGCGGCUCCCAGAGGCCUGAAGAUGCGGCCCCAUGUCGUGAGAGUCAGAUGGGCGUAUUGGACAGGGACCCCACAUCCUGUGUGCCUGUGCGGGGCAUGUCAGCAUGGGUGCCCUCUGCGAGGCUGGGGGAGGGCCAGCGGGGACCAGGGUCUGCCGCGUGGGGGAAGGGGCCUCGAGACUCUCAGUGGUGGUGACAGUCUAUGUGGUUGUGUGUGAGCCUCUGAGUGUAGCUGGGAGGGCGCGAGUGUGCGAGCAGAGGUGUGAGGGUGUAAGUGUGUGUGUGGGGGGGUGAGGGUGUAUGUGUAAAUGUGUAGGUGCGAGGGUGUAAGCAGGUGCCAGGUGUGUGACUGGAAACGUGUGAGGGUGUGAGGGUGAAUGUGAUUGUGUUAGUAUGAGACUGAGGGAAUGUGCCUAUGCCUGAGUGUGCAUGUAUGUGAUUGCACCAUGUAUGUGCAUGAUUGUGUCCAGGUGCGAGAGCAUGUCUAGGAUUAUGCACAUGUGUGGGAGCCAGUAUGUGAGCAAAUGUGUACACUUGUGAGAGCAUAUGUGUGUGUGUGUGUGUGUGUGGUUAUGCCCAUGUGUGAGAGCAUGUAUGUGUGUGUGCCCAUGUGUGUGAUUGUGCCCAUGUGUAAGAGCAUGUAUGUGAGUGAAUGUGCCCAUGUGUUUGAGCAUGUGUGCGCGAUUGUGAACAUGUGUGAGAGCAUGUAUGUGACUGUGCCCAUGUGCAAGAGCAUGUGUGUGUGAUUGUGCCCAUGUGUGAGUGUAUGAGUAUGCCCACGUGUGUGAUUGUGCCCAUGUGUGAGAGCAUGUAUGUGAGUGAAUGUGCCCAUGUGUGAGAGCAUGUGUGUGUGUGAUUGUGCCCAUGUAUAUUCAUGUAUAAGUGUGAUUGUGUCCAUGCAUGUGUGUGCCUGAUUAUGUCCAUGUAUGUGCAUGGUUGGGCCCAUGUGUGAGAGCAUGUAUGUGAGUGAUUGUUCCCAGGUGUGUGCAUGUGUUCAGGACUUGGUACCAGGGCACAUUCUCUUCCCCUUCCACAUCCACUCUGGCCGCCAGCCCACUUCCCGGCAAGCUCCUGGUGCCCUGAGUGGGGGCUGACGGUGGGUCUGAAAGGGGCACCUUGUUCCUUCCCAGCAGCCGCACUGGGGGGUGGCCAGGCUGCAGGGUGGGGAGCUGAUUCCAUCCUUACCGUGUGCCCAAAGGCCCCCCCGGGUCCCCUCAGAGCCUCUGUGGGAUGGGAACGGCCCAGAGGAGACGUGUGGCAUGUUUUGGCCUUCUGGGGGUGUGGCACGUGGAUCCGAAGUUCUGCUGUGUAUUAAAAACCAGAUUUUUACAGA